rnacentral:rRNA from 1 species
GACGAACGCUGGCGGCGUGCCUAAUACAUGCAAGUAGAACGCUGAAGAGAAGAGCUUGCUCUUCUUGGAUGAGUUGCGAACGGGUGAGUAACGCGUAGGUAACCUGCCUGGUAGCGGGGGAUAACUAUUGGAAACGAUAGCUAAUACCGCAUAAAAUUGAUUAUUGCAUGAUAAUUAAUUGAAAGAUGCAAUUGCAUCACUACCAGAUGGACCUGCGUUGUAUUAGCUAGUUGGUGAGGUAACGGCUCACCAAGGCGACGAUACAUAGCCGACCUGAGAGGGUGAUCGGCCACACUGGGACUGAGACACGGCCCAGACUCCUACGGGAGGCAGCAGUAGGGAAUCUUCGGCAAUGGGGGGAACCCUGACCGAGCAACGCCGCGUGAGUGAAGAAGGUUUUCGGAUCGUAAAGCUCUGUUGUAAGAGAAGAAACGGGGUGUGAGAG